UACGUAGGGUGCGAGCGUUAAUCGGAAUUACUGGGCGUAAAGCGUGCGCAGGCGGUUGUGCAAGACAGAUGUGAAAUCCCCGGGCUCAACCUGGGAACUGCAUUUGUGACUGCACGGCUGGAGUGCGGCAGAGGGGGAUGGAAUUCCGCGUGUAGCAGUGAAAUGCGUAGAUAUGCGGAGGAACACCGAUGGCGAAGGCAAUCCCCUGGGCCUGCACUGACGCUCAUGCACGAAAGCGUGGGGAGCAGACAGG
rnacentral:rRNA from 1 species